AACGGACGCUGGCGGCAGGCCUAACACAUGCAAGUCGAGCGCCCCGCAAGGGGAGCGGCGGACGGGUGAGUAACGCGUGGGAACGUACCCUUUGCUACGGAAUAGCCUCGGGAAACUGGGAGUAAUACCGUAUGUGCUCUUCGGAGGAAAGAUUUAUCGGCAAAGGAUCGGCCCGCGUUGGAUUAGGUAGUUGGUGGGGUAAUGGCCUACCAAGCCGACGAUCCAUAGCUGGUUUGAGAGGAUGAUCAGCCACACUGGGACUGAGACACGGCCCAGACUCCUACGGGAGGCAGCAGUGGGGAAUCUUAGACAAUGGGCGCAAGCCUGAUCUAGCCAUGCCGCGUGAGCGAUGAAGGCCUUAGGGUUGUAAAGCUCUUUCAGUGGGGAAGAUAAUGACUGUACCCACAGAAGAAGCCCCGGCUAACUCCGUGCCAGCCGCCGCGGUAA
rnacentral:rRNA from 1 species